rnacentral:tRNA from 1 species
UCUCUGAUAGCUCAGUUGGUAAAGAAUCUGCCUGCAAUGCAGGAGACCCUGGUUUGAUUCCUGGGUCAGGAG